GUGUCUGUACAUAUUCUAAAAUUGGAAUGAUACAAAGAAGAUUAGCAUAGCCCCAGCAUGGCCACAGUCUAAUGACUGAAACAAGUAGAAGAUAGGAUAUAUAUAUAUAU
rfam:Octopus bimaculoides Scaffold82916_contig_94, whole genome shotgun sequence.